CCUUCGUGGUGUAGUGGUUUAGGCACCCGUAUUGUGUGCGCCAAGUUCUGGGAUCGAUUCCUGCUCGCGCCACUAUUUUAUUAUUUUUUUUUAUACUUUUUUUUUUCUUCGUGAUUUUCGCUUACGCACCGCGUACGAAACGUAUAGCGUAUCGAGUAUGUUGUUGCUUCGUUCUUAAGAAACAACGCAACCAUUUUAGUGGUUUAGUGUUAGCUUUUAAAGCGUUGUCGGAUGAAUAGCCGUGAAGCAGGAAGAUCCGGUGUCGGACGAAUAUCCACGGGGUUAAUAUAAUCAUUUGGCAGGUCUACAAUUUUGCCAGUGAGGUCUUUGUUACCUUUUGGCGAUAUAUUAUAUAUUUUUCAUGCCAGUGUGGUUUAAGAUAAUCAUUUGGCAGGUCUACAAUUUUCCCAGUGAGGGCUUUGUUACCUUUUGGUGAUAUAUUAUAUAUUUUUCAUGCCAGUGUGGUUUAAGAUAAUCAUUUGGUUUGUUACAUUUUUCCAGUGAGGUGUUUGUUACCUUUUGGCGAUAUAUUAUAUAUUUUUCAUGCCAGUGUGGUUUAUUAUAAUCAUUUUGGCUUCUUUACACUUUUGCCAGUGAGGUGCGCUGCCUUUUGGCUAGUUGUGUUUAUAAAAAUUUGCAUGCCAGUGUGGGGUUUAUAUAACUUUUCAGGUCAAAUAGCUGCCAAGUUAUGUAUGUUUCUUUCAUAUAGUAUAAUAUGCCUCGAAGUGUAACACGAUCCACCUCGAAUCCGGGUCCAAGCGCAGCAGACGUUGUUUCAACUGUGAACCGCCCGAGCUGUAAAACGUCCAGCCAAAAAGGCAACUCGACCAGCAAAGAAAUCAAGGUCAACAUCCAGCCAAAUACCUGUACAAGUGGUUGAAGCUGCAGCAACAACACUGACCCCAGAUCUACUUGAGCAGCUGGUGACAAAGGUUGCUGAUGUUGUGACACAGAGACUAUCUGGAAGUUCCAUGAGUACCAAUCCAACCGCUUCAGUCAGCCUACCAGGGUCGUCGAGUCCACAUCCGCCAGAUGCCAGCAUUCUACAGCAGCCAGUAGACCACAACAUCUUGCAGGAAGUCCAACCUACAAUAGAUUCCCUGGUCGAAGUAGCUGUGGGGCAGUCCCAAGAAGCUAUCGCAGGUAUACGUUAUGGUGAUACACCAUCUAUUCCAAAAACUAUUUUUCAUUCAAGCAGCCUGGAAAUAGAUUCUAGAGUGAACGAUAGAGUAAAAGCCAAAAUUUGGAAUAAUGAAUAUGUGGAAUUUAGUACCCUUAUUUCUAGUCAAGGGAACAAUAAGUUCCAAUUGUCGUUUCAAAGUUUAGAGGGUAAUAAUGGCCCAUCUAUUUGUCUCGAGCCAAUUAACCGGAG